rnacentral:lncRNA from 1 species
GUAAGGAAUGUGGGAAAGCCUUUAUUUGUCCAGCCUACUUUCCAAGACGUGAAAAUUCACACAAAGGACAACAUAUAAAUGUAAGGAGUAAGGGAAUCUCUGCAAGACUUUUUCUGAACUAAUGCAAUUUUUGAAGUCUCAUUUUGUGAAGUCUCAUACUGUAGAGACACUAUACAUAUGUGAAAGUGGGAGAUUAUCACUCAUUCUUUUGAAGAGUUGAGGACAACUUAGAGAAACCCUGUGUUUGUAAGCUAUAUGGUAAAGCCAUUUGAUUUUGAACAUAACUUUUGAUUUUGAACAUAACUUGUGCCACAGUCUGGCUGGGCUGUGCAAAGUAGCCGGGGUGGGGGGUGGGGGGCGACAAGCAACUUGUGAAGUUUGAAACAGCGGGAGCCUCUUUAUUCAGAACAGCACAGGUAUAUAUACCCAACUAAAUACACACAGCUUAUCUCAACAUCAUCUAAUUACAGCAGUCAUUAAGGAAUCCUCAUCAUCUUAAUAAUUAGACACAGCUUAACUCAAUUAACAUCAUCUAGAUACAGCA